AGGAACAUGACUCAAGAGACCCUGGUGUCUAGCGGUACGCCCACCUCCAUGUUCUCUGGUGUGUUAGAUCAGAACGAAGCCACUGCCACCAUCAGGAGAGGAGACAUUCUCCCAUCCAACAUUCCCAUGGAGAUAGCCGCCAUACCCGUUCCGCCUCCUGUGCCACCGGUGCUCGAUGAGGCCAAGGCACCCGAAGGGUCUGCGGAGAUCGAGGUUGCUGGCGUGUAUACUGUGCAGGAAGAAGACGAGGAAUCUGAAGAGAAUAUGGAGAUGUGACUGGCAGCAGGAAGAACAAAAUAGCUAAAGGGAAUUGAAAAUUAGACAAUAAAACAGUGUGGAGGAAGGAGAUAAAGAGACUGAAGAGAAUUCUGAGGUGCGAUUAGCUGCUCAAGAAUUGUAUGAGCACUGUCUUACAAUGCAGUAGGAACUAAAGUAUGGGAUGUCUGGUUUGCUCCGAAAACUCCAAAGUGGGCCAAACAUUGGAGCUGCCCCCGUUCUAGACGAAGCAAGACAAAUUUCGAUCGGUCUUAAUUAUGUAAAUGGUCUGACUUUCUUGAUGCUUUUGUGAAUGUUCUCCUUUCUUGGCGUCUGCACUUCCUUAUCAAGGAAACUUGUAUACAUCUAUUUACAAAAUACUCAGCAGUUCUUGAGCACUACCGUUGAUAAGAGAACGGUAUCCACUGAAAUGUUCUCAGUCAACCUUAAUGGAAAUCUAUGAAUCAGGUCCCUAACUACUGGAUUUUCUGCGACCUUUAUAUAGACUGUACGACAUAAAAGGUGAGCUCGGUGACCCAGAAAAGUCAAUAGAGGUUUAUUUUCAUCUUGAGGGAAUAUCUUCUAUCAUCCGUUGUUCCCGAUGGUCAGGGUGUGUGUGUGUCAUCCUAUUCCUGGACAGUGAUACCCUGUUCAGAGCGAGACGAUCAUUUUCAAGAAAGUUGCGUGUCUCAAUCCUCGCUUAACGGAAUGGAAAAUUUAGGAGGAUAAAAAAAGUUGUUGCAUCUUUCGCUAUCUGGGAACGUACGGAUUUCGUAAUUGUAUUAAUCAAGAUAUGUAUCAGAAUAGAGACGGUCUCGUGGUUUAUUUUCUAAAUAAGAUCUAAAUCGCUAAGAUAAAAUGGCGUCGAAUGAAAGGACGAUUAGUGAAUAAUGGAUCGGAAAAUAUGAGAGAGGAAACGGUAGUUAAAUAGUCUUGCUUUUGCCUCGACGAACUGAGUAAAGUCAUAUAAACAUGACUUAAGCUUAUCUUUUUCUGUAGUUUCUCUUCUAUUGCGUUCCUGUCAUCUCUCUUUCUUCUUCUUCUUCUGCCCCUGUUUUCUCUUUCUCUUGAUUUUGCUCUAUUCUGUCAGUAUUGCUAAAGAUGACCGCAUAUUUGGUUAUGAACGUGACAAUUUCCAGAAGUAAAAGUGGAUUAAACUUCUAGGUACAACUGACACUGCAAGCAGGUCUAAGCUCUUGUCUCUACACUCUUAAUCAAUUUGAAAGUAAUGAGCCGAUAAUCAAAAACUGUAAUGUGAUUGUCAUUCCACUCGCUGUCCUUUUUGAAAGACUGUCUUAUCCCACUGCUGUGGGACAAGAGUAACACUGUUAUCAGUGGGGCUUCUUACGUCGCCCCAACACGUAUAUAGUUUCAGUUCAGAUAUUUUUGAAAUGAGUUUGCUCCUGCAAAACUAGGGUACUGCAAUGAAAGUUUGGAAACGAGGCACAAAUCCUUGAAUUUAAAACAGUUGUUUCCCUCAUAGUGUACACGUGAUUCCGUUACGCAAAUUGUUUGAUCUAUCGAGGAAGAACAUUUGAGCCCUACGGUGGUUCGUUACUUAUAAUAUUGCAUUUUGCAGGCAAAAUACUAUUGUGGCCACGUACUGGUGACCUGUUUUACGCUUUUAUGUCGUUUUAUACUGUAACUGAAGUCGAAAAUUUUAUCUUAUGACGUAUUUACUCAUUUUAUGGCUUCAAUCUAAAAUAUGACAUAGCUGAAGCCUGUCUAUAUAAUAUUUCAAAAUUCUGUUCUUAUCUCAUAAAAAUAUCAUCUCCAUUAAUAAGAUUCAUUGGUUAGGGACAUAAUCUCUAUUCACAGUAAUAAUCAUACUAAACCCAUACAUACAAUCUGUGUGCAAAAUGCAGAAUUACUCACUGUUAAAACAAGUAGUACAUAUGAUGGUACUGAGGUUUGAAGAGUUAAGUACCUGUAAAUAGAAAUAACAUGCAUACGAAAAAUAGAAUAUACUUAAAAGGGAUGAGUACUAAGGACUGCAGAAGGCUCUGGGUAUUCUGAAUGCCAAAUAGAAUUUGCAGUAAAUUAGAAAGUCCAAAUUAAGCAUUCGUCAUAGUAGUGUAUAAAGACACAGUUAUAACUUUUAUUCACAUAUUUGAAAUUCUGCGUCAUAAAAUUUUACCAAUAUUAUGCUGAAAAUUGCCCAUAGUUGAUAUACACGACGUUUCGGGAGCUGAUUCUACUCUCGUCUUCAGGUGAUAGGUUGUCAUUGUAUGGACAGAUUUUCUUUUAUUUUUAACACUGCAGAAGAAGGUUGUUGAAGGUGGUCGAAGCCUGACUUUCGUCACUAUUGUUAAAAUAUAAAUUAUAAAAUAUGUUGCUCUAAUGACAGCCUGUCACCUAGUAGCAUUAUUAGAGUUCUGCCGAAACGUCGUGCAGGCUACAUAAAAUAUACUUCAGAUUAUGCAACACAGAAUGCACUAUAAGGUAACUUCAUCAAAGUCUGAAACAACACAUAACGCACUUUACAUAUACAUUAAUCACACUUUUGUAUGUCAGGUUCCAAGGAUUACUCGAUUUUCACUUUUCAUUGACGUAACAUAUUACUGCACCCAUCUGCGGAUUUUCAGGCACUUCGUAUUUUAUUAUAACAUGUGGUAUUUCUAGUUUUCACGGUGGUAGAAAUGAAUAUUGGUCUUCUUGGCCACGACGCCACCGAAUAGACUUGUAGGCGGUUAACAACAUUUGGAAGAAAUCUCUGGCUUACGUCUUUAGAUUAGCUUAGAUAGAUUCACAAACGCUGUGAACCACCAACAAGACUACAGAGUGUUGCUGCCGUUUUAAUGCUUUUGUUACAUAAAAUGUUGUAUUAUCUUACAACGGUCCAGCAUAAUUAAGGAUUAUUAUAACUUUGCAAGUUAUUAAUGUGUUCCAAUUAAGAUAUUCAUUUUAUAAUAGCAUACUUCACACUUAUCUAAGUAGUUUUAUUUUACAGUUUCCAUCAAUUUUCCUUUUUAUAAAAUGCCUUUCACGAAAAUAAAAAUUGUUUGUGUUGAGGGAUAAAACAAACACGUAUAGUUUGUAACAUGUUACAAUGCAUUUUAAAAAUGAUUUUAGUAUUCUUUUAUAUCAGAGAACAAAUUUUAUACAUGGAAAUUAUAAUAAUGUCCAUAAUGUUUUGUGGAUUUGUUCUGAGGGAGACACAGAAAGCCAAAUUUCACACACAGAACAUGCACAAAAGAAUAUCGAGCUUGCCCACAUCUCCUAAGUAUAGGAGCGGAAUGAAGCGAAUUAAAGACACUGUAAGACAGCUUAAAUUCUCAAGUUUAAUACAACGAGACGAGAAGUCCAUAAGACAUUACAACUAACGGCGGUUAUGUAUGAUUCCGUGUUAUUGACUGUACAAUUAAUAAGUUCAAGGGCGUUUACCAAAUAAUAUAAACACUUAUAAAAGGUAUUUCGAAUUUCUCGUUGUUUUUUAUUUUGCUGUGUGACUUCAAAAAAAAAAACUACACAAGACUGUAAAUGUACAAGAAGAAAUGCAUUUAAUUCUAUUCCUUCAAAGAAAGUGAAACUGGAUUUAGCAGUGUAAUGAAUUUGUUCAGAGACAAAGAAAACACUAAACCAUAAUGUUGUAAGUGAAGUUGUGAAGUCACUUGUGUUACCAUGUUGAAUGUAGCAGAUAUGUGUUGAUGUGUUAUUUGCGUGUAAAAAACUAAACAUAUUUGUCCUUAGGUAAUUCCUGUGUUCUGUACAUAAUAUACUUAAUUGGUAUGUGAUUACCA